rnacentral:sRNA from 1 species
GUGAGCCGUGUGAUGGGAAACCUUCCCGCACGGUUCGGAGAGCACUGAAUUAGAAUGAGAGGUUCACCACACAUCAUUGCAUGCAAGGGGAGCUCGC